AAAUUACUCCCUCCGUUCGGAAUUACUUGUCUCGGAAAUGGAUGUAUCUAGAACUAAAAUACGUCUAGAUACAUCCAUUUCUGCGACAAGUAAUUCCGAACGGAGGGAGUAGAUG
rnacentral:pre_miRNA from 1 species